rnacentral:rRNA from 1 species
UGGGGAAUUUUGGAUAAUGGGCGAAAGCCUGAUCCAGCCAUGCCGCGUGAGUGAAGAAGGCCUUCGGGUUGUAAAGCUCUUUUAGUCGGAAAGAAAGAGUUGCAAUGAAUAAUUGUGAUUUAUGACGGUACCGACAGAAAAAGCACCGGCUAACUACGUGCCAGCAGCCGCGGUAAUACGGAGGGUGCGAGCGUUAUCCGGAUUUACUGGGUUUAAAGGGUGCGUAGGUGGGCUUAUAAGUCAGUGGUGAAAUCUCCGAGCUUAACUUGGAAACUGCCGUUGAUACUAUAGCUCUUGAAUUAUCUGGAGGUAAGCGGAAUAUGUCAUGUAGCGGUGAAAUGCUUAGAUAUGACAUAGAACACCAAUUGCGAAGGCAGCUUACUACAUAUAAAUUGACGCUGAGGCACGAAAGCGUGGGGAUCAAACA